rnacentral:rRNA from 1 species
UUGGAGGGCAAGUCUGGUGCCAGCAGCCGCGGUAAUUCCAGCUCCAAUAGCGUAUAUUAAAGUUGUUGCAGUUAAAAAGCUCGUAGUUGAAUUUCGGGAUCAAUAUAUCGGUCGUGCCUUCGGUAUGUACUGGUAUUAUUGGUUUCUCCUUUCUGACAAACUAUGAUGUCAUUAAUUUGGUGUCAUGGGGAAUCAGGACUGUUACUUUGAAAAAAUUAGAGUGUUUAAAGCAGGCACACGCUUGAAUACAUUAGCAUGGAAUAAUGAAAUAGGACGUUUGACCCUAUUUUGUUGGUUUCUAGGAUCGACGUAAUGAUUAAUAGGGAUAGUUGGGGGCAUUAGUAUUCAAUUGUCAGAGGUGAAAUUCUUGGAUUUAUUGAAGACUAACUACUGCGAAAGCAUUUGCCAAGGAUGUUUUCAUUAAUCAAGAACGAAAGUUAGGGGAUCGAAGACGAUCAGAUACCGUCGUAGUCUUAACCAUAAACUAUGCCGACUAGGGAUCGGAUGAUGUUAAUUUUUUAAUGACUCAUUCGGCGCCUUACGGGAAAC